AUGCUGGAGGUAUCAGAAGUGCGAAUGCUGACAUAAGUAACGAUAAAGCGGGUGAAAAGCCCGCUCGCCGGAAGACCAAGGGUUCCUGUCCAACGUUAAUCGGGGCAGGGUGAGUCGACCCCUAAGGCGAGGCCGAAAGGCGUAGUCGAUGGGAAACAGGUUAAUAUUCCUGUACUUGGUGUUACUGCGAAGGGGGGACGGAGAAGGCUAUGUUGGCCGGGCGACGGUUGUCCCGGUUUAAGCGUGUAGGCUGGUUUUCCAGGCAAAUCCGGAAAAUCAAGGCUGAGGCGUGAUGACGAGGCACUACGGUGCUGAAGCAACAAAUGCCCUGCUUCCAGGAAAAGCCUCUAAGCAUCAGGUAACAUCAAAUCGUACCCCAAACCGACACAGGUGGUCAGGUAGAGAAUACCAAGGCGCUUGAGAGAACUCGGGUGAAGGAACUAGGCAAAAUGGUGCCGUAACUUCGGGAGAAGGCACGCUGAUAUGUAGGUGAAGCGACUUGCUCGUGGAGCUGAAAUCAGUCGAAGAUACCAGCUGGCUGCAACUGUUUAUUAAAAACACAGCACUGUGCAAACACGAAAGUGGACGUAUACGGUGUGACGCCUGCCCGGUGCCGGAAGGUUAAUUGAUGGGGUUAGCGCAAGCGAAGCUCUUGAUCGAAGCCCCGGUAAACGGCGGCCGUAACUAUAACGGUCCUAAGGUAGCGAAAUUCCUUGUCGGGUAAGUUCCGACCUGCACGAAUGGCGUAAUGAUGGCCAGGCUGUCUCCACCCGAGACUCAGUGAAAUUGAACUCGCUGUGAAGAUGCAGUGUACCCGCGGCAAGACGGAAAGACCCCGUGAACCUUUACUAUAGCUUGACACUGAACAUUGAGCCUUGAUGUGUAGGAUAGGUGGGAGGCUUAGAAGUGUGGACGCCAGUCUGCAUGGAGCCGACCUUGAAAUACCACCCUUUAAUGUUUGAUGUUCUAACGUUGACCCGUAAUCCGGGUUGCGGACAGUGUCUGGUGGGUAGUUUGACUGGGGCGGUCUCCUCCUAAAGAGUAACGGAGGAGCACGAAGGUUGGCUAAUCCUGGUCGGACAUCAGGAGGUUAGUGCAAUGGCAUAAGCCAGCUUGACUGCGAGCGUGACGGCGCGAGCAGGUGCGAAAGCAGGUCAUAGUGAUCCGGUGGUUCUGAAUGGAAGGGCCAUCGCUCAACGGAUAAAAGGUACUCCGGGGAUAACAGGCUGAUACCGCCCAAGAGUUCAUAUCGACGGCGGUGUUUGGCACCUCGAUGUCGGCUCAUCACAUCCUGGGGCUGAAGUAGGUCCCAAGGGUAUGGCUGUUCGCCAUUUAAAGUGGUACGCGAGCUGGGUUUAGAACGUCGUGAGACAGUUCGGUCCCUAUCUGCCGUGGGCGCUGGAGAACUGAGGGGGGCUGCUCCUAGUACGAGAGGACCGGAGUGGACGCAUCACUGGUGUUCGGGUUGUCAUGCCAAUGGCACUGCCCGGUAGCUAAAUGCGGAAGAGAUAAGUGCUGAAAGCAUCUAAGCACGAAACUUGCCCCGAGAUGAGUUCUCCCUGACUCCUUGAGAGUCCUGAAGGAACGUUGAAGACGACGACGUUGAUAGGCCGGGUGUGUAAGCGCAGCGAUGCGUUGAGCUAACCGGUACUAAUGAACCGUGAGGCUUAACCUU
rnacentral:rRNA from 1 species